ACUCAUCAGAAAAAUUUUCUAGAGGAACCGCUGAAGCAAGAGAAGCUAAGAUGUCAAGAAUAUGAUCCCAGUUUUAGCUGAGAAGUAUAACGUUUUCCUUUCCGAAGUUAACCAACUUAGACGGAGCUUAACUGAAGUUGCACCAGACCAUAAUAUGCAGGAUGAAAUGGGGGUGUUGGUGGUUGCACGUGAUACAUUGGCUGAAUUUAGAACAAGAGAGUUGAA
rnacentral:misc_RNA from 1 species